UACGGAGGGUGCAAGCGUUAUCCGGAUUCACUGGGUUUAAAGGGUGCGUAGGUGGAUCGGUAAGUCCGUGGUGAAAUCCCUGAGCUUAACUCAGGAACUGCCGUGGAUACUAUCGAUCUUGAAUGCCGUGGAGGUAAGCGGAAUAUGUCAUGUAGCGGUGAAAUGCUUAGAUAUGACAUAGAACACCAAUUGCGUAGGCAGCUUACUACACGAUCAUUGACGCUGAGGCACGAAAGCGUGGGGAGCAAACAGG
rnacentral:rRNA from 1 species